rnacentral:rRNA from 1 species
GACGUAGGGCGCGAGCGUUGUCCGGAUUUAUUGGGCGUAAAGAGCUCGUAGGCGGCUUGUCGCGUCGACUGUGAAAACCCGCAGCUCAACUGUGGGCUUGCAGCCGAUACGGGUAGGCUAGAGUUCGGCAGGGGAGAACGGAAUUCCUGGUGUAGCGGUGGAAUGCGCAGAUAUCAGGAAGAACACCUAUGGCGAAGGCAGCUCUCUGGGACGGUACUGACGCUGAGACGCGAAAGCGUGGGGAGCGAACAGG